rnacentral:rRNA from 1 species
GGGUGCGAUCAUACCAGCACUGAAGCAUCGGAUCUCAUUAGAACUUCGAAGUUAAGUUUGCUUGGGCGAGAGUAGUAUUAGGAUGGGUGACCCCUUGGAAAAUUCUCGUGUGGUACUCU